GUGUAGCUCAGUGGUUGGGCCCUUGCCUAACAUGCAUGGGGCCCUGGGUUCCAUCCCCAGCAC
rnacentral:tRNA from 1 species